GAUGAACGCUGGCGGCGUGCCUAAUACAUGCAAGUCGAGCGAACAGACGAGGAGCUUGCUCCUCUGACGUUAGCGGCGGACGGGUGAGUAACACGUGGAUAACCUACCUAUAAGACUGGGAUAACUUCGGGAAACCGGAGCUAAUACCGGAUAAUAUAUUGAACCGCAUGGUUCAAUAGUGAAAGACGGUUUUGCUGUCACUUAUAGAUGGAUCCGCGCCGCAUUAGCUAGUUGGUAAGGUAACGGCUUACAAAGGCAACGAUGCGUAGCCGACCUGAGAGGGUGAUCGGCCACACUGGAACUGGGACACGGUCCAGACUCCUACGGGAGGCAGCAGUAGGGAAUCUUCCGCAAUGGGCGAAAGCUUGACGGAGCAACGCCGCGUGAGUGAUGAAGGUUUUCGGAUCGUAAAACUCUGUUAUUAGGGAAGACCAAAUGUGUAAGUAACUAUGCACGUCUUGACGGUACCUAAUCAGAAAGCCACGGCUAACUACGUG
rnacentral:rRNA from 1 species